rnacentral:rRNA from 1 species
UACGGAGGGAGCUAGCGUUGUUCGGAAUUACUGGGCGUAAAGCGCACGUAGGCGGCUUUGUAAGUUAGAGGUGAAAGCCCGGAGCUCAACUCCGGAACUGCCUUUAAGACUGCAUCGCUUGAAUCCGGGAGAGGUGAGUGGAAUUCCGAGUGUAGAGGUGAAAUUCGUAGAUAUUCGGAAGAACACCAGUGGCGAAGGCGGCAUCCUGGACCGGCAUUGACGCUGAGGCGCGAAAGCCAGGGGAGCAAACGGG